rnacentral:rRNA from 1 species
AGUGAACGCUGGCGGUAGGCCUAACACAUGCAAGUCGAACGGCAGCACAGUAAGAGCUUGCUCUUACGGGUGGCGAGUGGCGGACGGGUGAGGAAUACAUCGGAAUCUACUUUUUCGUGGGUGAUAACGUAGGGAAACUUACGCUACUACCGCAUACGACCUACGGGUGAAAGCAGGGGAUCUUCGGACCUUGCGCGAUUGAAUGAGCCGAUGUCGGAUUAGCUAGUUGGCGGGGUAAAGGCCCACCAAGGCGACGAUCCGUAGCUGGUCUGAGAGGAUGAUCAGCCACACUGGAACUGAGACACGGUCCAGACUCCUACGGGAGGCAGCAGUGGGGAAUAUUGGACAAUGGGCGCAAGCCUGAUCCAGCCAUACCGCGUGGGUGAAGAAGGCCUUCGGGUUGUAAAGCCCUUUUGUUGGGAAAGAAAAGCAGCAGGUUAAUACCCCGCUGUUCUGACGGUACCCAAAGAAUAAGCACCGGCUAACUUCGUG